rnacentral:lncRNA from 1 species
GCUCUUUUAGGGUAGCUUCACAACAUGGAAGCUUUUUCCCUUCUAUGCAAUGAUUAGUGCAAUGCCCCUCAUUAAACACUUAUUCUCGAAAAUUGAUCUUUAACUCUCGAUUUUCACCUAAUUAUCAUCUCGUUGGUCUUAAGCAAUCCACACAAAAUUUAACACACAUGGAAUCCACAUCUAUCUCAAUGUCUCCCCACAACAGCUCAACCACCCCAAACUAUCCUAGAAUUUGUUUAGUUGGAUUUUUUUUUUGUCAUAGUUAAUUAUGCAUAUUCUAUCCAUUGAUCCAAUCUAAAUAAUAUGUGAUUUUCAUGAUUAUUGUGCUCAAUGUAGAUCAAUCUAACAUGAACAAGCUUAAACUAAAUCAAAGCAGCAUCCCCUAGUCACAAUAAUAUAAAAACAAUUUCAAAUAUUAUCAUCGGUCGGUA